rnacentral:siRNA from 1 species
CUGAGCUUUCUCGUCAUC